GUUUGAUCCUGGCUCAGGAUGAACGCUAGCUACAGGCUUAACACAUGCAAGUCGAGGGGAAACGAUAGAGAAAGCUUGCUUUUUCCAGGCGUCGACCGGCGCACGGGUGAGUAACGCGUAUCCAACCUGCCCAUCACUUGGGGAUAACCUUGCGAAAGUAAGACUAAUACCCAAUGAUAUCUCUAGAAGACAUCUGAAGGAGAUUAAAGAUUCAUCGGUGAUGGAUGGGGAUGCGUCUGAUUAGCUUGUUGGCGGGGUAACGGCCCACCAAGGCUACGAUCAGUAGGGGUUCUGAGAGGAAGGUCCCCCACAUUGGAACUGAGACACGGUCCAAACUCCUACGGGAGGCAGCAGUGAGGAAUAUUGGUCAAUGGGCGAGAGCCUGAACCAGCCAAGUAGCGUGCAGGAAGACGGCCCUAUGGGUUGUAAACUGCUUUUAUAAGGGAAUAAAGUGAGUCUCGUGAGACUUUUUGCAUGUACCUUAUGAAUAAGGACCGGCUAAUUCCGUGCCAGCAGCCGCGGUAAUACGGAAGGUCCGGGCGUUAUCCGGAUUUAUUGGGUUUAAAGGGAGCGUAGGCCGGAGAUUAAGCGUGUUGUGAAAUGUAGAGGCUCAACCUCUGCACUGCAGCGCGAACUGGUCUUCUUGAGUACGCACAACGUGGGCGGAAUUCGUGGUGUAGCGGUGAAAUGCUUAGAUAUCACGAAGAACUCCGAUUGCGAAGGCAGCUCACGGGAGCGCAACUGACGCUGAAGCUCGAAAGUGCGGGUAUCGAACAGGAUUAGAUACCCUGGUAGUCCGCACGGUAAACGAUGGAUGCCCGCUGUUGGCCUGAAUAGGUCAGCGGCC
rnacentral:rRNA from 1 species